GUGCUCGCUUCAGCAGCACAUAUACUAAAAAUUGGAGCGAUUGCAGAGCAGAUUAUCAUGGCCCCCUGCGCAAGGAUGACACACAAAAUUCGUGAAGCGAUCCAUAUUUUU
rnacentral:snRNA from 1 species